GUCUUUGCAAUCCGUCACACUUCUUCCUUCAAACCUUCAUACCAACACUUUUGCCAUUUCACCUCCUAGUUGAAUGUUUAUGUUCGGAUGGUUUCACAGUUUAAGUUAAAGCUUAGUUUGGUUUCUAAAAGAAGAGGAAAUGGAAAUGCAGUUGAAACAAGUCCAGUAUUUUUUUAAACCACAUUUUAUGUUAUGUUUUUAGUGUUUACAGCAUAGUGUGAUGGGACAAGCCUGGUUAUAUAUCAGAUCAGUCUGAGUUUAUAUCACAGCUUUGCCACAUACUGUGUGACCGUGGGAAAGUUGCAUAAUCACUCUGGGCGUUGCUUUCCUCCUCUGUAAAAUAAGGACAAUAAACCUCCCAAUCAGGGUGAUUGGAGAACAAGAGGGCAUGGUUCGCCAGGCUUUGGCAGAUUGAUUUACAUUCAUCACCUGGCUCCUGCUCCAAAUGCAGUAAGUUUUACAUGCAUAUGUUUCCAUAAUUGUAUUUGCCAUUUAUGUUGUCAUUCAGAUAUAACUUCUUUUUUUGUCUUUUUUUUUUUUUUUUUUUUUUGUCUUUUUUGUCUUUUUAGGGCCGCACCCCAGGCGGAGUGCGGAAACCCAUGUGGAGUUUCCCAGGCCGUAGGUCGAAUCGGAGCUGUAGCUGGUGGCCUACGACAGAGCCACAGCAACACCAGAUCUGAGCCACGUCUGUGA
rnacentral:lncRNA from 1 species